rnacentral:ncRNA from 1 species
GGAGUCACACAAGCCGUGGGCACGUGGUUCAAUACGGGGAAUGUAACGAGGAGAACCCUACUUACUUUGGAACUUCAACUUGAUCACUUUUAGUCAUGUGUGUCCGUGUGUCCUGUCCGUAAGGGAGGAGGUUGAACAGAUGAUGUAUGGCCGAAGGAAGGUGGCAACGAGGUCAAGUCAUCAUGGUUCUUAUGACAAGGGCUACACCCGUGCUACAAUUGCGCGUAAAGAGGGAAACGAUCUGGCGAGAGUAAGGAACUUACUGGUUCUGCCAGUCCAGGCUGGAAUCUGGAACUCGACGCCAUGAAGUUAGAAUCCUAGUAAUCGCGAAUCAGCAAUUCGUAGUGAACACGUUACCGGGUCU